rnacentral:rRNA from 1 species
AGUCGAGCGGUAACAGAAAGUAGCUUGCUACUUUGCUGACGAGCGGCGGACGGGUGAGUAAUGCUUGGGAACAUGCCUUGAGGUGGGGGACAACAGUUGGAAACGACUGCUAAUACCGCAUAAUGCCUACGGACCAAAGGGGGCUUCGGCUCUCGCCUUUAGAUUGGCCCAAGUGGGAUUAGCUAGUUGGUGAGGUAAUGGCUCACCAAGGCGACGAUCCCUAGCUGGUUUGAGAGGAUGAUCAGCCACACUGGGACUGAGACACGGCCCAGACUCCUACGGGAGGCAGCAGUGGGGAAUAUUGCACAAUGGGCGCAAGCCUGAUGCAGCCAUGCCGCGUGUGUGAAGAAGGCCUUCGGGUUGUAAAGCACUUUCAGUCAGGAGGAAAGGUUAGUCGUUAAUACCGGCUAGCUGUGACGUUACUGACAGAAGAAGCACCGGCUAACUCCGUGCCAGCAGCCGCGGUAAUACGGAGGGUGCGAGCGUUAAUCGGAAUUACUGGGCGUAAAGCGUACGCAGGCGGUUUGUUAAGCGAGAUGUGAAAGCCCCGGGCUCAACCUGGGAACUGCAUUUCGAACUGGCAAACUAGAGUGUGAUAGAGGGUGGUAGAAUUUCAGGUGUAGCGGUGAAAUGCGUAGAGAUCUGAAGGAAUACCGAUGGCGAAGGCAGCCACCUGGGUCAACACUGACGCUCAUGUACGAAAGCGUGGGGAGCAAACAGGAUUAG